GACGAACGCUGGCGGCGUGCCUAAUACAUGCAAGUCGAACGCUUCUUUUUCCACCGGAGCUUGCUCCACCGGAAAAAGAGGAGUGGCGAACGGGUGAGUAACACGUGGGUAACCUGCCCAUCAGAAGGGGAUAACACUUGGAAACAGGUGCUAAUACCGUAUAACAAUCAAAACCGCAUGGGUUUGAUUUGAAAGGCGCUUUCGGGUGUCGCUGAUGGAUGGACCCGCGGUGCAUUAGCUAGUUGGUGAGGUAACGGCUCACCAAGGCCACGAUGCAUAGCCGACCUGAGAGGGUGAUCGGCCACGUUGGGACUGAGACACGGCCCAAACUCCUACGGGAGGCAGCAGUAGGGAAUCUUCGGCAAUGGACGAAAGUCUGACCGAGCAACGCCGCGUGAGUGAAGAAGGUUUUCGGAUCGUAAAACUCUGUUGUUAGAGAAGAACAAGGAUGAGAGUAACUGUUCAUCCCUUGACGGUAUCUAACCAGAAAGCCACGGCUAACUACGUGCCAGCCGCCGCCGUAA
rnacentral:rRNA from 1 species